ACCUAAUCAGAAUACGAUCAUUUCUGAUUUAAAUUACUUAUCUUGAGUAAUUACGUAAUCCAAAGAAGUGCAUUUUCAAACAUUCAAAGUUAACGCGUUCUUUAAUUUUUACAUAGGUGGAAACUAUCUUGCUGGAAUUAUAGUAUUAGCAAUUAUCGUCCUAAUAUUACUCGUUAUUCUUGCUUAUUUCAUCUAUCAAAAUUGUCGGCUCAAGUCAUCAAAGUCAAACCCGGAGGAUAAGAGCAAGGACAGAAAUAAUUCAAAAGAUAUUUAUGAAAAUCCUGACAAAAUCCAAGAUGAUGCGAAUUAUGAACAAGUGGAAAAUGAACAGUCGACGUAUACAGCUCUCAAAAGGACUGGGAAGGACGAAAAUGAUGAUCACUUAUAUAGCCAUCUAAAUGAAGUACACAAGGACUACGUGAAUCAGAAGGAAACUGGAAUAUAAGGGAGCUCUUGUACGAAGCCCGUUUGGUUUAUGUAGUGAAUAAGCUUAAUAUAGAUAAUAAGAAAUAAGCCAGCAAAAAUUUGUUAAAUAACCAAACCGAACUCUUUCGACUUGAAUGGAAGAUUACUAAUACCAAGUAACUGUUAAACUGUUAUCAUAAUACCUGAAAUGUAUAAAACAUAAUCUAUAGCCGUGUUUACGUGAUUUAGGAAUGUUUGAUAUUUGUUAUUCCUGCAAUUUCAAAAGCACCACAGUCUUCCCGCUGAGUUUCAAUGAAUAUUUCUGUUAUUUUGCUUCGCGUCGUUGGUC